AAUAAAAACUUACCGAUUGAGAAUACAACAGAUAUGCUUAGUACUCUGGCCAAUCUCUGUAGGAUAAUGACAGAAAAUCCGUAAGUAUAGAAACGAUAAUUACAGUGUAAAUGAUAAUUACGAUUUAGUUGUCAACUAAAAACUAAAGUGAGAAAAUAAAUUUUGAUAGUGUACUAGUCAUGUUUUGUAUAUAAUAAAUAAAAUAUAGUAUACUGAGCUAGAUAGAACUUUACAAGUGUUUUCGUCACAAAAUUUCCAAACAAUGAAUCACAGUCCUGGGGCCGGUUAUUCAAAGGUUGAUUGGCGGUAACCUUGAGUUAAAUUUAACCCACCGUUUUGGUUUGUGUAUUUCUGCACGUCUAUGUAUUUCAACAUUUCAGAGAAGCAACGUCCUGUUGACCCAGACAAAGUUUGUGAAGAAAAAUAUUUCGAAAUUUAUAAACAGUUUGCUUUGAAUUUUAAGUUAACGUACGGUUAGCGUACAGAAAGCAAUUCUAAGGUCUAUUUAUUUGCUAACAAAAGUGUCGACAUUUCUGACGUUGGCCACAAUGCACUGCAUACACAUUCAGUGCUCUACACCCCACCAAUAAUUUCUAAAAGCCUUUGAAUGUUGGCCGAAUAACUGUGUGAUCAUUUUUCAAUCAUAAAAGCAUUGGUGGCUAUAAAUUAAGCUAAAUAUUGCAUGAAAUGUACGGCAGAAAGGUUUAAAGAACUGAGAUUGGAAGCUACAAAAUGCGGUAAUAUGUUGGCGAUGGCAGCCUAAUCCCUUCCCCAAUAUUUCGCGAAGAAUUUCCACUGCUUCGGAAACAUGAUGCUAAUAUGAGAAUUUCGUAUUAAAUUGUAGGGAGUAUACUUCAAGAUUUGAAAGUCAAGAAACAACUCUGUUUUGUCUUCGUAUUAUGGUACGACACGUUUAUUAUAGUGUAAAUCUUCUAAUAGAAUACCUCUUGAACGCUUUAAAUGUUUGUUGUUACAAACAUGCUGACGUAUAUUUUUUUAUAGGUUGGAGUUAUUAUUUUAUAUGAUCAUGUUCACCCGUUAGGAGCUUUUGUGAAAACGUCUAACAUUGAUGUAAGUGCA
rnacentral:lncRNA from 1 species